UACCAGCGCCCCGAGUGGUCGGGACGAUUAUUGGGCCUAAAGCAUCCGUAGCCGGUUUUACAAGUCCUCCGUUAAAUCCAGCUGCUUAACAGAUGGGCUGCGGAGGAUACUAUAAGACUAGGAGGCAGGAGAGGCAAGCGGUACUCAGUGGGUAGGGGUAAAAUCCGUUGAUCCAUUGAAGACCACCAGUGGCGAAGGCGGCUUGCCAGAAUGCGCUCGACGGUGAGGGAUGAAAGCUGGGGGAGCAAACCGG
rnacentral:rRNA from 1 species